GUAAAUCAUUCUAAGUGAGGCUUCCUAACAUCUUACUAGCCUAGGAUUAAUAUCAGCCCAUUUUUUGGAGGAGAACCAACAAGACUGGCUAUUUGACUGGAUCCCCCAAUUGGUUUACUCCAAGAUUCCUCUUCAUUGGCUUAAGAAGAUACAAGACAGGAGUCUCCAAUCCUUAGACCAUGGACCAAUAUCAACCAUGGCCAGUUAGCAACCCGGUAACAAAGCAGGAGGAAUAUGUUUAAUACUGUUCAAAAGAAGAGAAGGAAAGAAAAGCAAAAAGAACAGAGGAAAAGAAACCCAGAGGCAAGGAAUAAAAAAGUCCUAUACAAAAAGACUCCACCACAAAGAAGAUUGAGAGGCACAAGGAAAAUCAGCCCUGAGAAGUAAAUACUGUUGCUGUCAUCCCUAUUUUACAAAUGAGGAAACAAAAAUAGAGAAAUGAAGCAAUUUGUCCAAGAUCACUCUGCUGGCAAGCAACAGAACCAGGAGUUUAACCCAGAUCAUAGCAGAGAACAAACAAGGAGGAGGAAGAACAGGAGGAGGAGGGGGAAAAGAGGAGGAAGAAGAAAGAAAGAUUAAAGAAGAAGAAAGAAGGAAGGAGGAGGGGAGAAAAAGAAAAUAAUAAUAAUGAUAGUCUCAAUUUUAGACUAUUAUGUACCAUAUUAAGGACUUAACAUUCACUCCCUCACUCAUACAUUUUUUCAAGGUAAAUGUGCUGUUAACCCCAUAGCAUAGACACCUCUGGACUUCUGAAACAGAAUCCUGUGACCACCGUGGAUGAAACAUAGACUCUCAUUAAGCUGCAGUUCCAAUGCCUGAGUAGCGUGAAUUGCUUCUAUGAUAAGGCAUUAUUUAGCCUUUGCCUGAAACAGCCCUAAUGAGAAGGAUCUCGCCACCUCAUGGCAUGGUCCAGUUCAUUUUCAGAAGCUUUCUUUGUAAUCUGUGCUUAUAAAAUUGUUAACAGGGGAUAGCUAAU
rnacentral:lncRNA from 10 species